AUUUCAAAGUUUCGACUGUCGUGAUUUAACUAGAGCGGGUUACGCAGGGCUGAUCCUGUGUCAGUGUAAAAGGGGGGCGCUAUAUCGUGAGCUAUACCCCCCCUCAACAAAUAUCAGGACUUCAACAUGGCGACGGGGGAAUUUCAGAUAAAUAAUAUAAGCUAGUGUUUUAAAUUUAAUAAGUUUGUCACUAGUUGAAGACUAGUAUGCAGCAAGGCAGCUGUUCGCUACUGACAGAAGCGAAUAGAAACCUGUAAUAAUGGAAAUGCGGGGGAUAGAGCAGAUGUUUGACUUUCAGCGGUUGCCAAGCGAUGGUCUGAUCCUGCUACUGCUGCUGCUGUACUCCCCGGUUGGCCUUUGCUUAAUGUUACUACGUAUAUUUAUAGGUGUUCAUAUAUUCCUAGUGAGCUGUGCACUUCCGGACAGUUUUGUAAGGCGAUUUAUAGUACGAGUCAUGUGCUCUGUGUUGGGCCUGUAUGUAAAACAGAACAACCUGCGCUUAAGGGACAAAAAUGUCAAGUUGUAUGUCAGCAAUCACAUUACUCAGUUCGACCACAACAUUAUUAACCUCCUUACCUCCUGCCACACUCCAUUGUUGGAGGGCCCUUCAGGGUUUGUGUGCUGGGCACGGGGCUUCAUGGAACUGGGCACUGUGACUGGCAGCAGGGCUGAGCUGGCACAGAGCCUGCGUGGGUAUUGUGCUGUUCCUGAAUCUCUGCCCUUACUGCUAUUCCCAGAAGAAGACACAACCAAUGGGCGUGCUGGCCUGCUCAAGUUCAGCUCCUGGCCUUUCUCUGUGGUAGACGCUGUACAACCAGUAGCGCUAAGGGUGAGGAGGCCCUUCAUAGCUGUGAAUGUACCAGAAUGCUCGUGGCUGAACGAAUUGCUGUGGAUGUUUUUUGUCCCGUUUACAGUGUAUCAAGUAAGGUGGCUGCCAACAGUGCAAAGACAGGAUGAAGAAUCACAUCAAGAAUUUGCCAACAGAGUCCAAGAGCUUCUGGCCACAGAGAUCGGUGUUGUUUCAACACAGAUCACCAAAGCAGACAAAGCUGAACACAUCAAAAGAAAACGGCACACAGUUUCCCAUACCACACACCUGGACUUGGGGGCAAGACCUCGUACCGUGGCACAGGGUUUUUUGGUCUCAAGCACUGAGGCAGAAGAUCCCAGAGUGAUCCGCAUGGCACAUCAGGUUAAAGAAGUGCUACCAGAUGUCCCUUUAAGUGUCAUCACCAAAGAUCUGUUGCAAACAAACUGUGUGGAUACAACAAUUACAAACCUGCUGGAGAACACUGAGCAGUAUCGUACAGAGCCUGCAGAAGCUGCAUCAUCAGGCCCAUCACAACCUUUACCCUCUGCCAUGCCUUCUGUUCCUGAUCCACCUCCUAAUCUAAAGUCAGCUGCCAAAGCUUUUGGAAAAUCACCAACAGACAGACACAUGUCUUUACAGGACAGAAAAGCAGCCUUGUAUGAUUAUGCAAGAAGUUUGUUUGAGCAAGUUUGAACAAUUCAUAACAAGACAAGCAGCAGCAUAUACUAUGCUAAACUCAGCAAUGCAGUUUGGCAGGUUACCAGUGAGCAUUAUACGUUACCUAGAGAAACAUGGCCUGGAUCCAGAGGAAGACUCAUGAGUGUGAGCAAAUUGCUCAAGUUAAUUGAGAGACUGUUAAUUGGAGUUCACACAAUGUUCCUAAAACAAGAAGAAAGCAUUAUACCAACUUUACUUGCAGAAUUUGUGUUCAGCAAAAAUACAAAAAGCACGGGGAUGGAAAUAAGUGGAUUGGAAUAAGUUGACUUCAAUGGAUUUUUAUUGAUCCUCUUGCAUGGCACUCAUGCAUGUCUUUUUAAUGAUUUCUCUGCUACAGGAAAAAAAAAAAAAGAUUAUUUUGGUAAACAGUUUGUACUACACCCCAGUACCAGUGGAACAUCUCAUAUUAUUUUUAUAAAGUUUAGACUGAGAAAGCAGCAGCUUGGCCUUGUGUGGUAACGAACAAAACCCAGUUUGAGGGUAUGUCGUAGGUAUAUGUGUUGAUUCCGUUUCAGACAUUAAAGAUCAUUUAUAAAUGAAAUAAAUGUUUUGUUUCUCUUGA